ACUGAUGGGAGCUUGCUCCCUGAUGUCAGCGGCGGACGGGUGAGUAACACGUGGGCAACCUGCCUGUAAGACUGGGAUAACUUCGGGAAACCGGAGCUAAUACCGGAUAACUUCAAGCACCUCCUGGUGCUUGAAUAAAAGAUGGUUUCGGCUAUCACUUACAGAUGGGCCCGCGGCGCAUUAGCUAGUUGGUGAGGUAACGGCUCACCAAGGCGACGAUGCGUAGCCGACCUGAGAGGGUGAUCGGCCACACUGGGACUGAGACACGGCCCAGACUCCUACGGGAGGCAGCAGUAGGGAAUCUUCCGCAAUGGACGAAAGUCUGACGGAGCAACGCCGCGUGAGCGAUGAAGGCCUUCGGGUCGUAAAGCUCUGUUGUUAGGGAAGAACAAGUACCGGAGUAACUGCCGGUACCUUGACGGUACCUAACCAGAAAGCCACGGCUAACUACGUGCCAGCAGCCGCGGUAAUACGUAGGUGGCAAGCGUUGUCCGGAAUUAUUGGGCGUAAAGCGCGCGCAGGCGGUCCUUUAAGUCUGAUGUGAAAGCCCACGGCUCAACCGUGGAGGGUCAUUGGAAACUGGGGGACUUGAGUACAGAAGAGGAAAGUGGAAUUCCACGUGUAGCGGUGAAAUGCGUAGAGAUGUGGAGGAACACCAGUGGCGAAGGCGACUUUCUGGUCUGUAACUGACGCUGAGGCGCG
rnacentral:rRNA from 1 species